CGUGACGGCCGGCGGCGGCGCCCGGAGUCGGAUCCAUCAUCCAUCGGUGGAAGGGUACGUAUGCUACGACGGCUAUGUGGAAUUGCCAAAUCUCGUUGAUGCGGACGGCCGAUGGUUCUCAAGCUCCAGGAGAAUCGCAGUGUGAAGCCAGCCAAUUCAAGAACAGAAUGCAUCGACACCAAUGGAAAAUACCAGCACCCCUCGUCACAAGUGUGCGAUGGACGAAAUCUAUUGGAGAGGCCAAGUUGAUAGGUAACCAGGGACAAGAAGACAAAGCCGGUGCUCAAUGCCGUCGGUGAAUCGUCAGACUGGGGUUUCCUUGCUGCUAGAGCCCUGAGAGAGCAAGGCUUCGAGAGAUUUGUUCUCGAGGGAGACAAGCGAAUGGAGGGACAAACGAGAUGAGGCACUGAGCCAAAGAAAGAGAUGGGUUCUCGGGCUCAAAUCGAAUGGGCCACCCUGUUUUCCUAGGGACAAAAUGUGCACUUUCACUUUUUUUUUUCGAAAAUGAGGGAAACCCCGGGGCUCUGCAUCAAUCAAUGCACACAGCCAUCUCUCUAAAAAAAAGCCAUCAUAUUAUUGAAGUUCAGUACAA